rnacentral:rRNA from 1 species
GAUGAACGCUGGCGGCGUGCCUAAUACAUGCAAGUCGAGCGAACAGACGAGGAGCUUGCUCCUCUGACGUUAGCGGCGGACGGGUGUGUAACACGUGUAUAACCUACCUAUAAGACUGGGAUCACUUCGGGAAACCGGAGCUAAUCCCGGAUAAUAUAUUGAACCGCAUGGUUCAAUAGUGAAAGACGGUUUUGCUGUCACUUAUAGCUGGAUCCGCGCCGCAUUAGCUAGUUGGUAAGGUAACGGCUUACCAAGGCAACGAUGCGUAGCCGAACUGAGAGGGUGAUCGGCCACACUGGAGCUGAGCCACGGUCAAGACUCCUACGGGAGGCAGCAGUAGGGAAUGUUCCGCAGUGGGCGAAAGCCUGACGGAGCAACGCCGCGUGAGUGAUGAAGGUCUUCGGAUCGUAAAACUCUGUUAUGAGGGAAGAACAAAUGUGGAAGUAACUAUGCACGUCUUGACGGUACCUAAUCAGAAAGCCACGGCUAACUACGUG